rnacentral:rRNA from 1 species
UUUAAGACAUCUCCCGCUUUGGGGAGUACGUGUCGCAAGAGUUAAAACUCCAAAGGAAUUGACGGGGGCCCGCACAAGCGGUGGAGCAUGUGGUUAAUUCGUAGCAACGCGCAGAACCUUACCACCUUUUGACAUGCCCGGACCGCCGCAGAGAUGCGGCUUUCCCUUCGGGGACUGGACACAGGUGCUGCAUGGCUGUCGUCAGCUCGUGUCGUGAGAUGUUGGGUUAAGUCCCGCAACGAGCGCGACCCUCGCUAGUUGGUGCCACUAGGCUUGGCAGGGCACGUUAUAGAGGGACCCGCCCGGGUGGUGAAGCCCGGGAGGGAAUGAUGGGUGANGUACGCUUCAAGUUCUGUCAGGCCCGCCACUAGGUGGUGCGACACACGUGCGACUAAUGGCGACUACAGAGGGCGGCUACGCCCGCGAGGGGGGAUGCCAGUCCCAAAACGU